rnacentral:rRNA from 1 species
UACAGAGGGUGCGAGCGUUAAUCGGAAUUACUGGGCGUAAAGCGCGCGUAGGCGGCUUUGCAAGUCGGGUGUGAAAUCCCCAGGCUUAACCUGGGAACUGCAUUCGAGACUGCAUUGCUAGAGUAUGGGAGAGGGAAGUGGAAUUUCCGGUGUAGCGGUGAAAUGCGUAGAUAUCGGAAGGAACAUCAGUGGCGGAAAGCGACUUCCUGGACCAAUACUGACGCUCAUGUGCGAAAGCGUGGGGAGCAAACAGG